UACGUAGGGGGCUAGCGUUGUCCGGAUUUAUUGGGCGUAAAGAGCGUGUAGGCGGCCAGGUAGGUCCGGUGUGAAAACUCGAGGCUUAACCUCGAGAUGUCAUCGGAAACCAUCUGGCUAGAGUCCGGAAGAGGAGAGUGGAAUUCCUGGUGUAGCGGUGAAAUGCGUAGAUAUCUGGAGGAAUACCGGUGGCGAAGGCGGCAUCCUGGACCGAUAUUGACACUGAUGAGCGAAAGCCAGGGGAGCAAACGGG
rnacentral:rRNA from 1 species